rnacentral:rRNA from 1 species
GAUGAACGCUGACAGAAUGCUUAACACAUGCAAGUCAACUUGAAUUUGGGUUUUUAACUUAGGUUUGGGUGGCGGACGGGUGAGUAACGCGUAAAGAACUUGCCUCACAGCUAGGGACAACAUUUGGAAACGAAUGCUAAUACCUAAUAUUAUGAUAAUAGGGCAUCCUAUAAUUAUGAAAGCUAUAAGCGCUGUGAGAGAGCUUUGCGUCCCAUUAGCUAGUUGGAGAGGUAACGGCUCACCAAGGCGAUGAUGGGUAGCCGGCCUGAGAGGGUGAUCGGCCACAAGGGGACUGAGACACGGCCCGUACUCCUACGGGAGGCAGCAGUGGGGAAUAUUGGACAAUGGACCGAGAGUCUGAUCCAGCAAUUCUGUGUGCACGAUGAAGUUUUUCGGAAUGUAAAGUGCUUUCAGUUGGGAAGAAACAAAUGACGGUACCAACAGAAGAAGAGACGGCUAAAUACGUG